CUCCUGGAAACGGGUGGUAAUGCCGGAUGUGCCGGGCUCCUGCAUGGGGGUCCGGGAAAGCUCUGGCGGCGUGGGAUGGGGUCGCGUCCUAUCAGCUUGUUGGCGGGGUGAGGGCCCACCAAGGCUUCGACGGGUAGCCGGCCUGAGAGGGCGACCGGCCACAUUGGGACUGAGAUACGGCCCAGACUCCUACGGGAGGCAGCAGUGGGGAAUAUUGCACAAUGGGCGCAAGCCUGAUGCAGCGACGCCGCGUGCGGGAUGGAGGCCUUCGGGUUGUAAACCGCUUUUGUUUGGGAGCAAGCCCUUCGGGGUGAGUGUACCUUUCGAAUAAGCACCGGCUAACUACGUGCCAGCAGCCGCGGUAAUACGUAGGGUGCGAGCGUUAUCCGGAUUUAUUGGGCGUAAAGGGCUCGUAGGCGGUUCGUCGCGUCCGGUGUGAAAGUCCAUCGCUUAACGGUGGAUCCGCGUCGGGUACGGGCGGGCUGGAGUGCGGUAGGGGAGACUGGAAUUCCCGGUGUAACGGUGGAAUGUGUAGAUAUCGGGAAGAACACC
rnacentral:rRNA from 1 species